ensembl:snoRNA
AUCCUUUGUGGUUCAUAAGCGUCAUGACUGAGUGUUCACAUGCAUGUGUGAGAUGUGCCACCCUGAGACCUUAUUACGAAGUCAAUGUAUUACCCAUCUGAGA